AGAAGAAUAGAGGGAGGCGGGCGGCCAAGGGGAAGAGAGAGGAGAUCAUGAAGGGAUUACUAUUUUUUAAUUUUAGGGUUUAGAAUUACAAUCAUGCACAUUUUGCAUAUAUAAAUUAUCAUCUUGCAUACAUCAUGAAUUAUUCUAUCAAGUGGCAUAUAUCAAGGAUCAAAUAAUCUAACCUCCAUAUAUAAAUUAUCAUUUUGAUAUUUUUGCACAAAAAUGUUGAUGUAAGGUCGGCUGGUGCAAGAGAGAUAAACUUAGGGGAACUGAUCACAUUUUAUAGAACUUAUGAGGAUAUUUCUGCAAUUUUCGGAAAGUAUUAUUCCUCACGAGUAAAAUUUCCUAGUAUCGAGGAGCUCGUAAUAAGUAGUAGAGUAGUACUCAAAGCAGAAAGUUCACGUUGAGCAGGGGAAAAUGGAAGUCGGAAAACUGGUUUUGGUGUUGAGUUAUUUACAAUAUGUAUACCCUCUAUUUAUCCUUUACCUCUUUUACCUUCCAUUGGACAGAACUCCACAGCCACAGUUUGAUGUAUCAACUUCUUCCGUCAAGUAUUUGCCUGGCUUCGGUUUUCUUCCUUUUAAACUUGAUACUGGAUAUAUAGGGGUUGGUGAAGGUGAACAAGUGCAGCUGUUCUAUUAUUUUGUGAAGUCAGAGUCGGAUCCUGAAACCGACCCGCUUAUACUAUGGAUCACCGGUGGACCCGGUUGCUCUUCACUUGAAGGAUUGACUAUGGAAUUUGGUCCUCUGCACUUUGAUGAUAUGGAGUAUAAUGGUAGUUUACCUACUCUAUCAUUGAAUCCCCAUUCAUGGACAAAGGUGGCAAGCAUAAUCUUUCUAGAUUUGCCAGUGAAGACUGGAUUCUCUUAUGCAACAACUGAAAAGGCAAAUCAUACAGAUAAUUUACAAACUGGUGAACAUGCUUACCAAUUUCUUCAAAAGUGGUUGGCUAAUCAUUCAAAGUUCCUUCAAAGUCCAAUAUAUAUUGGCGGUGACUCGUACUCUGGGACAACUAUUCCAAUUGUUGUUCAAACAAUAUCAAAUGGGAAUGAUGCGAAGACCAAGCCAAUGAUUAAUCUUAAGGGUUACAUACUUGGAAAUCCUUUGACGAUUAAUCCAGAUGAAUUAAACUAUAGGAUCCCAUAUGCUCAUGGUAUGGGACUUUUAUCUGAUGACCUGUACAAGGCAUUAGUGUCCAACUGUAGAGGAGAAUAUCAGAAUAUAUCUACAAACAAUUCAGCUUGUUCUAAUGGAGUUCAGACAUUCAAUAAGUUAUGUGAGGGAAUAAAUAAAGAACACAUUCUAGAGCCUCUUUGUGAUCGUGUUUCGUUAAAGAGAUACAGAUCAGUUGGCCGGAGAACAUCCCUUUAUGCGAAGCUUCCCAACCUUGAGAAUUCAAUGGUGCUUCCUGGAGUUAAAUGUCUUGAGGACUGGCGCAAGCUUUCUAUUCAUUGGGCCAAUGAUGAUAGUGUUCAAGAGGCUCUUCAUGUCCGAAAGGAAACCAUUCAAAAUUGGACACGAUGCAGGGGAGACUUAUCUUUCACAUACAAUGUCUACAAUGUAGUACCAUAUCAUGCCAAUCUUAGCGCUAAAGGUUAUAGGUCACUUAUAUACAGUGGUGAUCAUGAUUUGACUAUUCCUUUUAUUUCAACUGAAGCAUGGAUUGGAUCACUAAACUACUCAGUUAUUGAUGAUUGGCGGAAAUGGAUUGUAAAUGGCCAAGUUGCUGGCUACACGAAGACUUACUCUAAUAAUUUGACAUUUGCCACUGUGAAGGGAUCAGGCCAUGUGGCUCCUCUUUGGAAACCUUUAGAAUGUUUAACCAUGCUUACAAAGUGGAUAUCUUACAAACAACUUUAGGUCUUCUCAAGGUCUGGAAUGCUGAUAACUGAAAUAGAUGAUGCUGUUUCUUUACUGCCUAAGAAGAAACACACCAAUGGGAAUGUGUUUGAUGAGAUAAUCGAACGUUAAUCCAAAGUGAAUAUGCUAAGGGCUCUCCAUUUGUAUAUUUUCUUGAUUUGCCAAAAAUGAAGGUUGAACCUCAAAUAAUCAGAAACUUGAUUUAUAUUGAGACUAUUAAUAAUGGUGAUGAUAUGUUCAUUAUCAAAUUGAAUGGGAAAGAGCUUCAUUUUUGGCAUUAGAGAAUUCCGAAUCAUAACUGGUUACAAAUGUGAUGGUGAUAUUGAUUUUGUUUUCCAUCCCGACACACCAUCUAAGUUUAUUGAUCGUUACUUCCCGAAUUCCAGCAAUAAAGUGCUAAAGGCUGAUUUGUUAGAGUUUGGAAGAAAGAUGGUUUGAUUAAGUAUGAAUAUCUCUUUAGUAUGACAAUGAUUUAUUUCAUUAGCACAUACAUUUUUUCCUCCCUGCUAAAGAUAUCGUAUGUUCCUAAAGCUCAUUUUGAUUUGGUGGAAUCUGGCCAAUACAAUAGUUACCCUUGGAAUAA